AUGAUAAACAUUUAUGUAACGUCAAUGUUAGAGAGGAAAGGUCAGCCUACAGCAUUAUACACGAUGUCAGUAAGGAUCAAUGAAUAAUGUGUAGUAGUUAGAACAGUGAAUAACUCUUGUGCACUUUUUUAUUUUUUUGUUAUUUCGUUCGGGGCGAUUAAAAGGUUAUUUCGGAAGUUGAACUUACCACCGAAUCCAUAACCUGUUGAAAAUUCUCGUUCGUGUGUUUUGUGUGUUGGGUUAAAUGAUAAUUGAACGAGAACACAGUGGUGAUUGUGGAUUUUGGAUAAUUAAACCGUUCAGUUUCCCCUUUGUUUCUAAUCAGGAACUGGUUAUAAAGGACGGUGACGGUCCAAAGGUAAGGUAUUCCAUAAUUUGGACAUUUUAUUACGAUAAAAGAAAUAAAAUUCUUAUAGAAUACAAUAUAUUAAUAGACUAUUAAUCGUUUUAUUGUCGUUUUUAAGUGAAAAUUUAAGUUUUUUUGUAUAAAAAACACGGCGAUGUGGUACGAGAGGCGGCAACCACAUAAUUGCCCUUCAUGUCACAAUAAAUACCAAGAGAUAUCUAACCACUAAAUGGAUACCACAUGUAUAAAUUAUUAUUAAAACGAGAGUAAAUUUACAGCAAAAAAAAA
rnacentral:lncRNA from 1 species